rnacentral:rRNA from 1 species
UUAGGCAUGCAAGUCGCACGAGACAGCUCCCUUCGGGGGGCCAGUAAAGUGGCGAACGGGGGAGUAAUGCAUGAAUGACCUGCCCUCAUGACGGGGACAACUACUCGAAAGGGUAGCUAAUACCCGAUGUCGUCGCGGGACUGCGGUUUCGCGAUCAAAGGUGGCCUCUGUUUCAAGCUGCCGCAUGUGGAGGGGUUCAUGUACUAUUAGCUUGUUGGUGGGGUAACGGCCUACCAAGGCUAUGAUGGUUAGCCGGCCUGAGAGGGUGACCGGCCACACUGGGACUGAGACACUGCCCAGACUCCUACGGGAGGCUGCAGUCGAGAAUCUUCCACCAAUGCGCGAAAGCAUGAUGGAGCGACGCCGCGUGGGGGAUGAAGGCCUUCGGGUUGUAAACUCCUGUCACAUGGUCCUAAAACUACAGGGUUAAUACCCCUUGAGCUUGAAGUGUCGUGAAAGGAAGCACCGGCUAAAUACGUGCCAGCAGCCGCGGUAAUACGUAUGGUGCGAGCGUUGUUCGGAAUCACUGGGCAUAAAGAGCACGCAGGCGGUGACAUUAGUCGGUUGUGAAAUCCCCCGACUCAACCGAGGAACUGCACCCGAUACUGUGUGGCUAGAGUGUGGGAGGGGAGAAUGGAAUUCCUGGUGGAGCGGUGAAAUGCGUAGAUAUCAGGAGGAACGCCGGAGGCGAAAGCGACUCUCUGGUCCAUUACUGACGCUGAGGCGCGAAAGCUAGGGGAGCAAACAGGAUUAGAUACCCUGGUAGUCCUAGCCGUAAACGAUGGGCACUAAGUAGGGGGGCUCCGAAGGCCUCCCUGCCGGAGCUAACGUGUUAAGUGCCCCGCCUGGGGAGUAUGGUCGCAAGGCUAAAACUCAAAGGAAUUGACAGGGGCUCACACAAGCGGUGGAGCAUGUUGUUUAAUUCGAUACAACGCGAAGAACCUUACCUGGGCUGAACUACUAAGUGGUACCAAUCCGAAAGGGGCGGGACCCUCUCUGAGGGAGCGUGCACAGGUAUUGCAUGGCUGUCGUCAGCUCGUGUCGUGAGAUGUUGGGUUAAGUCCCGUAACGAGCGCAACCCUUGUCCUUAGUUACCAGCGGUUCGGCCGGGGACUUUAAGGAGACUGCCGGUGUUAAGCCGGAGGAAGGCGGGGACGACGUCAAGUCAUCAUGGUCCUUACGCCCAGGGCGACAAACGUGCUACAAUGGCCGGUACAGUGGGCAGCAAAACCGCGAGGUGGAGCAAAUCUCAAAAAACCGGCCUAAGUUCAGAUUGGAGGCUGCAAUUCGCCUCCAUGAAGUCGGAAUCGCUAGUAAUCGCGGAUCAGCCAUGCCGCGGUGAAUGUGUUCCUGAGCCUUGUACACACCGCCCGUCAAGCCACCCAAAUAGGCCGCACCCGAAGUCGCAGACCUAACCUUAGGGAAGGAUGCGCCGAAGGUGAGGUUUGUGAGGGGGACUAAGUCGUAACAAGGUAGCC